rnacentral:lncRNA from 1 species
GGGGGUUAAUUAAUUGGGGGGGGUUAAUUAGGGGGUGUUAAUUAAUUAGGGGGGGUUAAUUAAGAGCCCCCACCCGCCGUGAAGGUCUUGCCGGCCCCCGAGACGACGACGGCGCGACAGGCCGGGUCCUGCUCGAUCUCCCGGAAACACUCCACCAGCUCCCUGCGGGCAAACUGGGAGCACUGGGAAUACUGGGAGGGGAGUGCCUCCCCGAGCCACUGCAUCCCAGUCCCUCCCAGUCCCUCCCAGUUCAUCCCAGUCCCUCCCAGUUCAUCCCAGUGCCUCCCAGUUCGCCCAGAGGCUCCCAGUCCCUCUCAAUUCCCUCAGAGCUUACCGGUCUUUCCCAGUCCAUCCCAGUCUCUCCCAGUCCAUCCCAGUGCCUCCCAGUUCCCCCAGAGGCUCCCAGUACUUCCCAGUCCCUCCCAGUGCCUCCCAGUCCAUCCCAGUCCCUCCCAGUUCAUCCCAGUCCCUCCCAGUCCCUCCCAGUCGCUUCCCAGUCGCUUCCCAGUGUCUCCCAGUCCUUCCCAGUCCCUCCCAGUGCAUCCCAGUCCAUCCCAGUCUCUCCCAGUCCAUCCCAAUCCAUCCCAGUUCCCCCAGAGGCUACCGGUCCUUCCCAGUGCCUUCCCAGUGCAUCCCAGUCCAUCCCAGUGCAUCCCAGUUCCCCCAGAGCCUCCCCAGUCCCUCCCAGUGCCUCCCAGUCCCUCCCAGUGCAUCCCAGUUCCCCCAGUGCCUCCCCAGUGGUUACCAGUCCCUCCCAGUCUAUCCCAGUGCCUCCCAGUCCAUCCCAGUUCCCCCAACUCCUCCCCAGAUCAUCCCAGUGCCUCCCAGUCCUUCCCAGUCCAUCCCAGUGCCUCCCAGUGCAUCCCAGUCCAUCCCAGUGCCUACCAGUUCUUCCCAGUCCAUCCCAGUGCAUCCCAGUUCCCCCAGAGGCUCCCAGUCCUUCCCAGUCCAUCCCAGUCCAUUCCAGUGCCUACCAGUCCAUCCCAGUCCUUUCCAGUCCAUCCCAGUGCCUCCCAGUUCAUCCCAGUCCAUCCCAAUUCCCCCAGAACCUACCGGUCCUUCCCAGUUCCUCCCAGUGCCUUCCAGUCCGUCCCAGUCCUUCCCAGUCCCUCCUAGUGCCUCCCAGUCCCUUCCCAGUGCCUCCCAGUCCCUUCCCAGUGCCUCCUAGUGCCUCCCAGUCCCAUCCCAGUGCCCCCAGCUCCCUCCCCAGUCCUUCCCAGUGCCUCCCAGUGCCCCCAGCCCCCUCCCCAGUGCCUCCCAGUCCCAUCCCAGUGCCUCCCAAUGCUCUCCAGUGCCUCCCAGUCCCUUCCCAGUGCCCCCCAGUCCCUCCAGCCCCUUCCUGAAAGCCUCCCAGUCCAUCCUACUGCCUCCCAGUUUAUCCCAGUGCCACCCAGUCCCAUCCCAGUGCCUCCAGCUCCCUCCCCAGUGCCCUCAGCUCCCUCCCCACAGCCUCCCAGUCCCUCCCAGUCCCUUCCCAGUGCCUCCCAGUGCCCUCAGCUCCCUUCCCAGUCCCUCCCAGUGCCUCCCAGUCCCAUCCCAGUCCCUCCCAGUGCCUCCCACUCCCUUCCCAGUGCCCACAGCCCCCCACCCCAGAUCCUCCCAGUCCCUUCCCAGUGCCUCCCAGUGCCCUCAGCUCCCUCCCCAGGGCCUCCCAGUCCCAUCCCAGUCCCUCCCAGUCCCCCCCAG